rnacentral:rRNA from 1 species
AACGAACGCUGGCGGCGCGCCUAACACAUGCAAGUCGAGCGCACUCCUUCGGGGGUGAGCGGCGCACGGGUGAGUAACGCGUGGGAACCUACCCUGGGGUUCGGGACAACGGCUGGAAAC